AUGACUCCAGAAGAUGCCAUGGUGAGGGUGCAGCAGGGCCUGGUGGACUCGGCCUGGGACCUGUACACAUGGGGGCUGGAUGGGGAAGGGAUAACCCCCACGCAGGGCCCGUCCGUCUUCCCCCUGGUCCCCUGCCCCAGCAGCAUUGGCGAGGCGAGCGCCCCUGUGGCCCUGGGCUGCCUGGUCAAAGACUACAACCCGGAGCCCGUGAACGUGACCUGGGAUGCGGGGUCCCUGGAAAUAAACAUCACAACCCUCCCUGCCACCAUCGACUUGACCUCCGGCCUCUACACCACCUCCAGCCACGUGACCACUGCCUCAGACGAGUGGGCCACACAGGAGUUCACCUGCACCGUGGAGCACGCCGAGUCUGCCCCUGUGAAAGUGACCAUGGGCCGGAAGGAAGGUGGGCCCAACUGCCACCACGGGCUGCCGUCAGGGGACCAGGGGCAGGCUGGUGGGGUGGUGCGUCACACCCGGAGCACUCGGGCCCUGGGCUGGGAGGUAGGGUUCAGACGCUCAGAGAGGUCAACGUCAGGCUCGCCACCUGUGCCCCCAGUGUGCUAUGACAACGUCACUCAGCCCACCAUGAAGCUGUACCACUCCUCCUGCGACCCCAGUGGCAACACCUAUGCCAUCAUCCAGCUCCUGUGCCUCAUCACCAACGUCACCCCAGGUGACAUCAAGGUCACCUGGCUGGUGGACGGGCAGAAGACCAAGGGCAUGUACGUGCACACCGACACCCCCAAGCAGGAGGGCAGCCUGUCCUCCAUCUUCAGCCAGCUCAACAUCACCCAGGGCGAGUGGGUGUCCGGGAAAACCUACACCUGCCAGGUCCACUAUCAAGGCUGCACCUUUAAGGAACAUGCCCUCAACUGCGCAGAGUCCGAGCCCCGUGGCGUGAGCGUCUACCUGAUCCCGCCCAGCCCCCUCGACCUCUACGUCCACAAGUCAUCCAAGAUCACCUGCCUGGUGGUGGACCUGGCCAGCGAGGAGGGCAUGGACCUGCAGUGGUCCCGGGAGAGUGGGGGCCCUGUCAAAGACACCGAAACCAAAAUCGAACGCCAGUUCAACUUGACUUACACUGUCACGUCCACCCUGCCAGUGAAGACCGAUGACUGGGACAAGGGUGAGACCUACACAUGCAAGCUGAACCACCCACACCUGCCCCAAAAAAUAGUGCGCACCAUCGCCAAGGCCAAAGGUGAACGUGCUGUCCCUGAGGUCUACGUGUUCCUGCCACCCGAGGAGGAGCAGAAGACUAAGCACAUGGUCACCCUCACCUGCCUGAUCCAGAACUUCUUCCCGGCCGACAUCUCGGUCCAGUGGCUACAUGACGGCUCCCUGAUCCAGACAGACCAGCACGUCACCACGUGGCCCCUCGAGGUCAACAGCUCCAGCCACACCUUCUCUGUCAUCAGCCGCCUGAAGGUCAGCCGGGCAGACUGGGAGAAGAGGAUCCAAUUCACCUGCCAGGUGGUCCACGAGGCACUGGAAGGCUCUCGGACCCUCAAGAAAUCAGUGUCCAAAGCCCCUGGUAAUUGA